rnacentral:rRNA from 1 species
AUACUUUCUAUUUUUCAUAUAUAGUGCCUCGAAACUGUUUACCAAAAACAUAGCCCUCGGCCAAUAUGAAAAUAGAAGUAUGGAGGGUGAGGCCUGCCCAAUGGUUGUAUCUAAAAGCGGGUGAUAAAAGUCGACCGCGUAAGGACAAUUGAAUGGCCGCGGUAACACUGACCGUGAUAAUGUAGCGUAAUCAAUAGCCAAUUAAUUGUUGGCCAGUAUGAAUGGCGCCACGAAGGCCCCACUGUCUUAAGGAAAUUCCCAGUGAAAUUGAAUUCGUAGUGAAGAUGCUACGUCCAAUUUGUUAGACGAAAAGACCCCGUUGAGCUUUACUGGGGCACUUACGCGGCCCCGGCCUUACCAGCAAGGAUGACCAUGCCUAGGGACCGGCCGAAUUUAAAUGGGCGGCUUAGACCAUGUGGCAGCCCCCCCCGUCGGGGCAGAUGAAACCCCACUCCCCCAUGUCAAAGGGGCUAACCCCCCCCCUUGGAGGGGGGGGGACAACGUAAGUAGGACAGUUUGGUUGGGGCGACCGCCUUUUAGAGAGUAACGAAGGUGCGCUUAAGGUGCGCCAUUAAUGACUGAAGCCUGACUGCGAGGGGGACACCCCGAGCAGACACCCCCAAGCCCGCCCGCCCUAGCUUCAGCUAGGCCAGGAGGCGAUGGGGUGGGCCAUAGUGACCCGUUAAUUUGGAGUGGAAUAGUUAACGAUCAACGAAUAAAAGUUACCACGGGGAUAACAGCGUAAUAUCGUUAGAGAGUUCACAUCGACGACGAUGUUGCGACCUCGNAUGUUGAAUUGCGGCAUCCUGGGGUGCAGCCGCUCCCAGUUGGGUCCCUGGUUCGGAAAA